UCUUCCUUUAAGACGAGGAUAGCACUGUGAAAACGGUGGUAAUACUCGAUGUUAUGGUUUGUUCGCAUGAACGGACCAUCAAAGACGGGGACCGUAAGGCCUGUCGCUUGAAGAUGAGCUUGCGUACCAUCAGCUAGUUGGUAGGGUAACGGCCUACCAAGGCUAAGACGGUUAGCUGGACUGAGAGGUUGACCAGCCACAUUGGGACUGAGACACUGCCCAGACUCCUACGGGAGGCUGCAGUCGAGAAUAUUUAGCAAUGGACGAAAGUCUGACUAUGCGACGCCGCGUGCAGGAUGAAGGUCUUCGGAUUGUAAACUGCUUUUGUUAGGGGAGAAACCUGUAAUGUUAACAGCAUUACAGCUGACGGUACCUGACGAAUAAGCCACGGCAAACUCUGUGCCAGCAGCCGCGGUAAUACAGAGGUGGCAAGCGUUACUCGGAAUUAUUGGGUGUAAAGGGCAGGUAGGUGGCUCUGUAAGUGAGGGGUGAAAUCCCACGGUUCAAUCGUGGAACAGCCUUUCAAACUGUAGAGCUUGAGAGAAACAGAGGAAGAUGGAAUUCCCGGUGU
rnacentral:rRNA from 1 species